GCGGGAUUAUUACAUUGUUUUUCUUCUAAGUCCGAAUUUAAUUAUGAAUUUACCUUUGAGGGCUUAGGUUUUAGUAAGUUUCAGGUCUGAUUAGGUAAUUAGACUGGUGGGUUAAGGUUGGACUUGGGUCGGGCUUGUGGAAAAACAAAACCCUAGCCCACUUGUGGGUUGCAUGUGAUUUUAGCCAAGGGGGGAAACCCUAUUCUUCCACAAUCAGAAAACAGAGAUACACUACAGCACCUUCACGUGAAAAACAAAGAGAGAACGUGUAAGAGAAGAGAAGGGAGCCGCCGCCCAAGCCACCACCAUUGUCGCCGGUCACGCACGCGAGCAAGGGAGAGAACGCGAGUAGAGAGGGAUUCGCGAGGGAGAGGAAAUAGAGAACGAGGACAGCAGCUUUUGAACCUUCUUUCCAUCUCCAAACUUCUGUUUUUCCAUCACCAAACAAGAUGGUCGUGAAGAUAAUGGCGAUGACUCAUUCUUGGGAGUUGAUGCUACGUGACGUGCCAAUACUGGAGGACGACUACACUUCAGAGGAAGAGGAAGAGGCUAAGGAAUAGGGUUUGGGUUGAGAGUCUUUUGUUUUCUGUUGGGGUUGAGAGUUUCCGAAGUGUUGGUAUCGAACAAUUUUAUUGCUUAAAUUCGAAUGAACAAGUUUUGAUGUAAUCUUUAUUUUCAUUCAGGCCUUUGUUUCGUACU